rnacentral:lncRNA from 1 species
UUUGCAGCUGCACAUCAUUACUGAUACUGAACAACAUGGAGCAAUGUUUUACAGAGAAGACCACAGGAUUCAAAUCUCGUAAAGCCUAAACAGUCUUAAAUUGUUUUACUGGAUUUUCCAUCAUCUGUGAUAGAGUACUUGAUUUGUUCUAGUAAUCCUUAAUUGUAAUUGAUUUGUUUCCUGGAAAUAAUGAAGUCACUAUAGUUAAAUUUCAUCUUUGCUUAUUCAGUUUUUGUGUUCUGAAUUUCUUUUGCUAAGAUUAGUUGGAUAAAGAUAAACUAUCCAACAUUUUUAUUAUAUUAUUCUAGUGAUUGCAUUAUUUUUUAUUGCAGCAAAUCCAGGCUUGUAGUUUAUGAUGUAUCAAUACUAAUUUAAAACUAAAUAGUUAAACUAUUAAUUA